GGCUUAGCUGUUCAGGAGCAGGGCGAGGGUUUUCGGUGCUACCUCACAGGGAAGGAGGGUGGUGAGGAAAGUUAGAUAAUGUGUGAAAAGUGACUGCGACCUGGUAAGACCCCGUCCAUGCCGGUUCUUUCUUCCCUCUUGACUCUGCCGUCCAAGAUGGUAGCCAUCAGCUGCGUGUGGCUCUCGAGUGUUUGAAAUAUGGUUACUUGCAAAUGUUUUGAGCCUGGGGUGAUGGAAAGCUUCUGGAUUCCAGAGUCUGCAGGAUAUGGGUUUGAAGAUCCGCUGCGUGAUCGUGGACCGGUAAAGUCGCCACUCUGAAUUUCUUCACAUGGCUCUAUGAGGACUGAAUGAGAUAUCAUGGAAACAGCACUUAGCUCAAUGUCUGACAUUCAAAAUAAACCUCACAUUUCCAAAAUA